UCCGAGUUGUCCCCGGCAGUCCCUUUAGAGUCCCCGGCAUUACCCGCUGGCAACUAAAGGCAGGGGUUGCGCUCGUUGCGGCACUUAAGCCAACACCUCACGGCACGAGCUGACGACAGCCAUGCACCACCUGCACACCAGCCACAAGGGAACCGACAUCUCUGCCGGCGUCUAGUGCAUGUCAAACCCAGGUAAGGUUCUUCGCGUUGCAUCGAAUUAAACCACAUGCUCCACCGCUUGUGCGGGCCCCCGUCAAUUCCUUUGGGUUUUAGCCUUGCGGCCGUACUCCCCAGGCGGGGCGCUUAAUGCGUUAGCUACGGCACAGAAUCCGUGGAAGGGAUCCCACACCUAGCGCCCACCGUUUACGGCGUGGACUAC
rnacentral:misc_RNA from 1 species